rnacentral:lncRNA from 10 species
AGGUGAGGAAGCCAUGGUUUAAAGCAGAGAUCACCAACUGCUGGACCACAGACCUGCACGAGUUCACGGCCUGUUAGGAACCGAGCCACACAGCAGGAGCACAUGCUCCUCUGCAGAAAGUGAUGGGGCUGCCUUGCCAGCUGGAGCCUGAAACUGUGCCCAGGUAGACAGAACUGCGAGUCCCAGGACAGCCUGGGAAGUGUUGGCUGCCUGGUAAUGGAAGAAUGUCCAGGAUGGAAAACAAGAGGCUGGAUCUGCAAAUGACAUUGUAUUUCAGGGGUCUGCUUUCCUGGUCUGCCCCUCCCCACCUCUGUAGCUCCCUCACAGUGACAGCAGAGCUGUGAACCCAGGAACAAACCCCACCAUUGCCCCUGUCCUCUCUCAUCUCUACUUUCCACAUUGAAAAAUAAUAAAAGAGGCCAGGCAUGGUGGCUCAAAACAGCUAUAAUACCAGCACUAGGAUGCCAAGAUGAGAGAAUGGCUUGAGGCCAGGAGUUCAAGACCUGCCUG